AUUGAACGCUGGCGGCAUGCCUAACACAUGCAAGUCGAACGAGUGGCGGACGGGUGAGUAAUGUCUGGGAAACUGCCUGAUGGAGGGGGAUAACUACUGGAAACGGUGGCUAAUACCGCAUACCAUCGGAUGUGCCCAGAUGGGAUUAGCUAGUAGGUGGGGUAAAGGCUCACCUAGGCGACGAUCCCUAGCUGGUCUGAGAGGAUGACCAGCCACACUGGAACUGAGACACGGUCCAGACUCCUACGGGAGGCAGCAGUGGGGAAUAUUGGACAAUGGGCGAAAGCCUGAUGCAGCCAUGCCGCGUGUAUGAAGAAGGCCUUCGGGUUGUAAAGUACUUUCAGCGGGGAGGCGUUACCUGCAGAAGAAGCACCGGCUAACUACGUGCCAGCAGCCGCGGUAAUAC
rnacentral:rRNA from 1 species